GAGGAAUAUACUUCAGGUGGGUCUGUCUGGUGUUCCUGCUUGGUUAGAUUCAGGUCCUGUAGAUUUGGAGGUCAGGGAUAGCACACAGAUGCUGUCGUGGCCAUCUCAGGGCAUCCCAUGGAGGGACACAUUAUUGUCCCAUUACUGGUAUGAACUUGGAUCACUCCAUGUUUGCUACUUUUCUCAGAAUCCAGAUUUGAUUUUCCUCACUUUGUCAUCAGCAGAUUUCUUUGGGGAGAUAUUUCGAGAUAUGAAAAUGUCUUGUUUCCUAUCACCCAUUACAUGUUGAAUAUCCCUUAUCCAAAAUGCUUGGGACCAGAAGUGUUUUAAAUUUGGGAGUUUUAAGAAUUUUGGAAUAUUCAUAUUGACUUUACUGACUGAACAUCUCUAAUCUGAAAAUCCAAAAUCUGACAUGCUUCAAAAUUCAAAGUUUUUUGAACACUGACAUAACACUCAAAAAGUUCAGGUCUUGGGUAGAACAUUUCAGAUACUGGACUUUCAGAUUAGGAAUGCUCAACCUGUAGUUGCAGCCUCCAUUGAUGAAUUUUGCCUGAAAUGGUUAAUAUUAUGGUGAUAGUCAAGCAAUUAUUUUAUUUAUUUUUGGUACUGGGGAUUGAACCCAGGGACAGUUAACCUCUCAGUCACUUCCCCACCCCCUUUUUUAAUUUUUAUUUUUUUGUAGUGGUACACGAACAGCAUGC
rnacentral:lncRNA from 1 species